rnacentral:rRNA from 1 species
UACGAAGGGGGCUAGCGUUGUUCGGAAUCACUGGGCGUAAAGCGCACGUAGGUGGAUUGUUAAGUCAGAGGUGAAAUGCCAGGGCUCAACCUUGGAACUGCCUUUGAUACUGGCAAUCUCGAGUCCGGGAGAGGUGAGUGGAACUGCGAGUGUAGAGGUGAAAUUCGUAGAUAUUCGCAAGAACACCAGUGGCGAAGGCGGCUCACUGGCCCGGUACUGACACUGAGGUGCGAAAGCGUGGGGAGCAAACAGG